rnacentral:rRNA from 1 species
UACGUAGGGGGCAAGCGUUGUCCGGAAUCAUUGGGCGUAAAGAGCGUGUAGGCGGCCCGAUAAGUCCGCUGUGAAAGUCCAGGGCUCAACCCUGGAAUGCCGGUGGAUACUGUCGGGCUCGAAUCCGGAAGAGGUGAGUGGAAUUCCUGGUGUAGCGGUGGAAUGCGCAGAUAUCAGGAGGAACACCAAUGGCGAAGGCAGCUCGCUGGGACGGUACUGACGCUGAGGUGCGAAAGCGUGGGGAGCGAACAGG